AUGCAAGUGCAUGUCUUCCAACAAUGGUUGCACCUGGGGGGAUUUGUUUUGACGGAGGGCGCAAUGACGAGAGAGGGGGGAGCAGUUGCAUGUCCGUUUGUAGUCAUGCAACUGCAUGUCUUUCUUAACUUGGUUCCAAUUUGGUUUUUGUUUUGUCAGAGGGACUGCGAGAAGAAGGGAGCAGUUGCAUGUCCGUUUGUAGUCAUGCAACUGCAUGUCUUUCUUAACUUGGUUCCAAUUUGGUUUUUGUUUUGUCGGAGGGACUGCGAGAAGAAGGGUUCAAUUGCAUGUUCCACACUAGUCAUGCAACUGUAA
rnacentral:rRNA from 1 species